rnacentral:rRNA from 1 species
AGUGAACGCUGGCGGUAGGCCUAACACAUGCAAGUCGAACGGCAGCACAGUAAGAGCUUGCUCUUACGGGUGGCGAGUGGCGGACGGGUGAGGAAUACAUCGGAAUCUACUUUUUCGUGGGGGAUAACGUAGGGAAACUUACGCUAAUACCGCAUACGACCUACGGGUGAAAGCAGGGGAUCUUCGGACCUUGCGCGAUUGAAUGAGCCGAUGUCGGAUUAGCUAGUUGGCGGGGUAAAGGCCCACCAAGGCGACGAUCCGUAGCUGGUCUGAGAGGAUGAUCGGCCACACUGGAACUGAGACACGGUCCAGACUCCUACGGGAGGCAGCAGUGGGGAAUAUUGCACAAUGGGCGAAAGCCUGAUCCAGCAACGCCGCGUGAGUGAUGAAGGUCUUCGGUUUGUAAACCUCUUUUGUUGGGAAAGAAAAGCAGUGUAAGAACCCCCGGCUAUCUUGACGGUACCCAAAAAAAAAGCACCGGCUAACUACGUG